UACGAAGGGUGCAAGCGUUACUCGGAAUUACUGGGCGUAAAGCGUGCGUAGGUGGUUUGUUAAGUCCGUUGUGAAAGCCCUGGGCUCAACCUGGGAAUGGCAGUGGAUACUGGCGAGCUAGAGUGCGGUAGAGGGUAGUGGAAUUCCCGGUGUAGCAGUGAAAUGCGUAGAGAUCGGGAGGAACACCAGUGGCGAAGGCGGCUACCUGGACCAGCACUGACACUGAG
rnacentral:rRNA from 1 species